rnacentral:lncRNA from 10 species
GGAAGGCGAUGGGUUAUAACCUUAUAAGGAGGAUAAUGAAACUUAGUGUCAUCCGGGAAGGUUGUAACCCCAUAGUACUCAACCAAUGAGGAACUAGGGGAGGGACUUGCGUACCGGAGAUAAAUUACCUGUUGUGACUGACCCAGGUGCGUCGUCCCAGACACCCGAUGUUACAAGACCGUUAUAAAAAGUCUCAUUUUCACUGUUCUUCGUGCCUCUAAGUCCAUUCUUUGGGUUUGAACGGGUGAGUGUGUUUCUCACAACCUGAGGGCCCGUUCGGGAUCUCUGUGCCUACGUGGAGUGGGACUCCGGCUGAGAGAAGAGACAUGUCCCACCCGAUUUUUGUGCCCCACUCUGUCUGGGUGUCCUGGCUCCCCACAGAAGCCAUAGAUAAACCCGAGACUGUUAUUCAGGAGACGGUGGAGGUGACGCAGGGAGAAAAGCAGGCACUGCGGCAAACAGGCAACCUCGUGCACCAGCCAAGGUUGGGUAUUUCCUUCAGCCUAUUAAAGGAAUUGGGAACCUGUGGUACCUUCCUUUGAGUGUCACGGGAGUACCAUCUCUUUACCUUGGCAAGAGCAGAUCCUUCAUAUCUGUAGUUGAAUCACACACUCUCAGAUAUCUGAGCUUGAAUUCUACAGGGACACUUAUCUCAGCUUUUGAGUUUUAGGAGAAAUAGCCUGCAGACCAGAGAAUAAGGAAAAGUUGUUUCCUGCCAAAGAACAAGCAGUAUUGUGAAAUAUAAAAUUUUAUUGUUGCGGUGAAAGAAAAUUUCAGUAUCAAAUUUUUGAAAACACCAUGUAAGAGAUGCCUGCUUUCCCUUCACCUUCCGGCAUGAUUGUAAGUUUCCUGAGGCCUCUCCAGACAUGCUUCCUGUACAGCCUGUAGAACUAUUCUGACACCUCCACUUCACACAAAACACUCCACUUUAGAGUUCCUUGGCCCCUUAAAGAAGUGCCUGCUUCUCCUUUGCCUUCCACCAUGAUGUUAAGUUUCCUGAAGCCUCCCCACCAAAGCAGAACU